rnacentral:rRNA from 1 species
GACAGAGGGUGCAAACGUUGCUCGGAAUUACUGGGCGUAAAGCGCGUGUAGGCGGGUUUUCAAGUCAGAUGUGAAAUCCCUGGGCUCAACCCAGGAACUGCAUUUGAAACUGAGAGCCUUGAGUGUCGGAGAGGAAAGCGGAAUUCCUGGUGUAGAGGUGAAAUUCGUAGAUAUCUGGAGGAACAUCAGUGGCGAAGGCGGCCCCCUC